AAUGAUGGGUAGGGGAGCUUCCCAUACGGGUUGAAGCAUGACCGUAAGGACAUGUGGACAGUAUGGGAGUGAGAAUGUUGGCAUGAGUAGCGAGAUGUGGGGGAGAAUCCCACAGGCCGUAAACCCAAGGUUUCCAGGGGAAGGUUCGUCCGCCCUGGGGUAGUCGGGACCUAAGCUGAGGCCGAAAGGCGUAGGUGAUGGACAACAGGUUGAUAUUCCUGUACUACCGAUAACCGUUUGAGAGAAGGGA
rnacentral:rRNA from 1 species